GAGGCAAAGCCCAUGGGGUCAGUGAAUAAUGGAAUCAAAGGGUGAGUUUUCAGUCUCCAUCACAGUCACCUCCCUCCCGGCCCCCCAACCAGGGGAGCAGCCCAGACGCCCAGGAGGUACAGCCGCCUAUCACAGAACACUCAUUUCGAGAGCUUAUCAGCUUCCAUGAAGGCUGAUAAAUCAGAGUGUCUCAUACGGACAGUCUCAAGUUAGCCGUGUCAUCGAUCCCUCCUCCCCUUUUAAGCUAUUUGUCUUAUUCACUUCCAAAGAUGGUAUCAGAGAUGCCAAAUGAGCCUUUGUUUUCCGUGCUCUUGGGCAGCCUAGGGAUAGUCUUCUAGAGGAACACACCCAGGAAAAGACUGAGCCUCCGGGUCUCCAAAAGAAGAGAGACAGGAUGUGAGGAGAAAGCCAGGGCUUUGUGUGCCUGGUGGAUGUCAUUAAGGGGAAGGCAGUCUCUGCUAUUAUGCUAAUACUGGCCAUUGCAAUUUUAUUAUGUUCAUUAGUCUAGAGUCAAGGAAUAACACCAUUACAAUUCUUAUAGCUUUGCAAAGGACUUUUCUAACUGUUAUCUUAGUUGAUCUAUACAGUCUACCCUGGGAUGUCCGUGGAGUGUAUUUUAUGGAUUGGGCUAGCAUGAACUCUCAAAAAGUGUACCACCUAGGCCAGUGCUGUCUCAUGGCCCUUGACCUUACUAAACAGGCUGAUGGCCAGGGUGCCUUCUGGGGGACUCAGCUCAAGGAGGCUCUUUUUCAGCCCAGUUUGCUAGAGUCCUGGUUUGAACUGAAUCAGCUGUGAGUCCACAUAAGAGAUGGGUUCCUGAGUUUGGUGUGGAUUCUUCUCAGUGAGGGGAGGUAACCCAACUUCUGUCCAGUGCUAUCUCCAGGGAGCCUUGACUCCUAGGAGCUAAUGGGGAGUUCAGUCUCAGUCUCCUUUCCAAGUAGUUGCCCCACAAACUUGCCCCAGAAGCAGGGAGACUCAGAGUAGACACAGCCUCUGAGGCUUGGAUGUGACCAUGCUCUGACAGAAGACAGAACACUAUGUUUCCAGCUGACAAGUAAUGGAAGACACAGGUGGCCUCACCUCUCUGUGCAUCUUCUUCCAUCUCUAUUCCAUAUUAGUGGGACACAGAUGUGGUCGGGGCGGGCUGGGAGGCAGCCGUAUCUCUAACAACAGGAGGCAGAUUUUCUUCUCAGUUGUGGCGAUGGAGCCAACGGCUUAGUGCUCCCAAGGCAAGUGCUCUGCCACUGAGCUAAAUCCCGAACUCCUCAAAAUAGACUUUUAACCCUGGCUGUUGGAGUAAGGACACAUGAAAGGCUUCGUGGAAAUGGCCCCACGGAAGCAUCUGGCUUGAUGGUUAUUUUCACCGAUAGGGAAAAAAAAAAAGAAUUCCCGGCUGCCCCAACUUUCUAUGGAUACUACCAUCAGAUACAUAUUACAGAUGAUACCCUGAGAACGUCUGGUUGCUAUUGAGAUGUGUCAGCAUCUGAUAUGAGUUAACCUGAUGGGUUGGCCCCAGUCAGGAGGUGCAUAGUCCGGCAUGGCAAAGUCUCUCUGGCCUCCAGGACCAACUAACGCCUGAGCUCUUAGGGCAUCGGUGAUGGCCAAUCCUAAAAGAGGAUUUGGAAAUGGAUGCUGUUGAGCUUCUUGGUUGUUCAAAUGACUGGGGAGGGGCAGCCAACAUUUGCUCUCCUCCAAGCAGUGACAUUAACCAUCCAUCAGUGAGUAGACAGCUCCACAGGAAGGUCGGUGUUCUUCAAGUGGGAGGGGAUAUUUAGGAGUGUGGGCUUAAUGUGUUAAAGAAAGACAAAGAUGGGGCCUGGAAGAUAGUCACUCGGUAAAGUGCUUGACCUGAAAUCAGUCCUCAGAACUAACAUAACUCCAAGUCUGGGAAUGUUAGUGUGUACUUGUCAUCCCGUACUGGAGGUAGAAAUAGAGCCUACUCUAUUGAUCCCUAGAGCCUACUCUACUUGGAGUAUUGGGCCCUAGUGCAGUGCCAAAGGAUGACACUGAAGGCUGUCCCCUCCUCUCUACUCACACACAUAUGUGAAAGCCACCCUGAUCACACACAUGAAAGCCACCCCGAGAGAUGAGACCAAAAGAAGUCCUACGGAGACUAAAAGACAGUCUCCACAUCAGAAAGGGCCAUCAGGGAAGAGGGGGAGGGGAAGGGGAAGGGAGAGGGAGAGAAGAACUGAGAAAGUGUGAUGCUCUUGACUGCAGACCAACUUGUACACUGAGACCCGACCACAUGUCCAAGAGAACAGCAAGAACCCGAAUGAGAUUCGUCCCGGAGCUUCUGGUCCAGCACUUCGCAACCUUGGCAGAGAUGACCCAGUUAUUUGUUAAGUGGGCUGUCCUGUGCACGGCUUGGAAAUUCACCCUAAAAAUAGCGCCUCUCGGUGUUCAUCGAUGUAUGCCUGGGCAAAGUGUUCGUACAGCAACCCCGCGGAUUCUGCAGUUCUUUGUCCACUGGAACCGGCACCGAGACAGAGAGGUUGCAUGGUUCUGCGUUCUGGAGUUCUUGCUGAUAGAGGCCGUUCAGUCUCCUUACAUUACUUCCUAGACUUCCUUCCCGUUAUUGAAGGUCUGAGUGUGGCCUUGUGCUUUCUGUUUUAGGUCUCAGGCUGUGACUUCUGAAUGUUGCUUUUGCCACCCUGAAGUGUGGCUGGCCUCCCAAUCCCCUGUUGUUGCUAGUGGAUAUGAAGUGUGGCCAGUUAGAGAGGAAUGAGUUUCCAUUUCUGCUAGCGUUUCUUCCUGUGCUUUGGUGUCAGGAAACCUAGCAGCCACUGUUGCCCAGACAGCGUUUCUACCCGUGCUUCUGCUACUCGGAUGUGCCCAAGUGAACCGCAAGGGUGGAGAUAAGCUGAGGCUGAGCCUGUGUUCUCUCCAAGUGCUGGCAAGGUUGUGUUGGGAUUUCUCUGUUGCAUCUAUAGAUGGCGGCCACUUUCUGACUGUACUGUAAGGCAGCUUCCUGAUCACAGCUGAGGAAGCAGGUGUCAUGGUGGCCCGGGAGUCACUCCUGAAACCUCGCUCAACUCAGCGCCCAUAUCCGUGGCUUUCUUGGCAAAUUUUGUCCAGAGAGUUCCAAGCUGGGGUAGGCCUUCUGUAUACAGGCCCCCAGCAACGCUCAAGAAGUGCAUAUGUGAGCAGAGGGAAGGAACCUUCAAAGGGGUGUUCUGAGUGUUGAGGAGACGUGGGUUUUGAAGAAGGCCCCACUCUGCAACUUGGCUCUGCUGUCUGCGAGACUGAUUUUCCCUCUGCCCCCAUCUUGAAUGGCCAGUCAAUGGCAGGAAGGCUUCAGAGUAAGGAAGUCCGGACUGUGUGCUGAAUUACUGACUAGAGGUCCUAGGGGAGGCAAGUGCUUGAAGCUCUGCUUCUGUCUAUCAGUGGUCUGCAGAGGGAAACGGGAUAUCGGACUUCAGAGGGCCCAGGCCUACUCGUGGCAGGCAAGGAUGAGUUCUGGACAAGGUUGGAGUCGGAAGUUUGAAAAGAAGGCGCAUCAUGAAGUGAUAACCAACAGGGCUUGAAGCAAGAUCUCUUUACUUGGAGGAGACUAGUAAUGAAGACCUGUGGGCACAAGAGUGAACGGACUCAAGGCUUUCUCUUUGUGAGAGAGGGUCUUGUUAUAGAGCCCAGAUGAGCCUUGAAUUUUUGCUCUUUCUGUCUCAGCUUCCCAGAAUUACAGGUAUAGCCACCAUACCCAUCUCUAAAUAUUCUAAUUUUCUAAAAAACGUACUUUAUGGAAAUGGCAGCAGGAUUGAAGAGAGAAGCAAGACCACUCUCUCUUCAGGGAGAAGACUAGAAGUUUUCACACUUGAUUAAUCUGAUGGCUCCAGGGACUGGCUCCCUCACAUUAGCAGUCUCCAUCUGGCAAGCCCCAGGUGAGGCCCAUUAGGUGACCAGUCCUGUUCAGUUCCAAAGAAAAUGUUAGCAAUCUCGUAUUUAAAUAGAGUGCCAUGCAAAGAAGGGAAGAAAACCCCUCUAAAACAAAAGGAAGAAGUGAAAAUUGUCAGAAAAAAUGAACAUGGAAGGAGCCCUGAAAAGCAACAAGGUCUGUAUUUUUAGGGGGACCCGGGAAGGUGUUAUGUGAGGUGAUAGUAAGCAAAUAAGGAAGAGAUGUCAGAACUUACAAAUAGGUUUGCCAAAGUAAGAGAUGUGGCGGGAGAAGUGGAAGGGAACAUCAAGGUAAUCUCCCAGGAAUCAUAGCCAAAAGUCAGAGAAAUAGGAAACAUGGAGAACAAAUCUGAAGUGGAAACUUCUGGUUUCUUUGGAAAGUCAGUUAUGUCAGAUGCUGUUUUCCUGGGGCACACAGGUGAAA